ACCUGCGGAGGGCAGCAGGGAAGUGAGCGUGGAGCUGGGGCCGCGAGGACCUAACAGGGCAGGAUUUGUCGAGCCGCCGCCGCUUACCUGUGCUUGAAUCGCACCAUGGCGGUCUCUGCUCCGGCUGCCCUACGCCCAAAGCGGAUGUCGGUUUCGCUGGCGGCAAAUGGGAAAUUAGUUUCCGUAAUCUUGCAGCCACUCAGAGAGGGAAGCAGGGUAAGAAGGCGGGGCUAGAGUGUUGGGAGGCCGAGCCCAAUGUCAGUCUCCCUUAAGCCCCACCUCCCGCAAACGUUUGGAGGGCGCAUGCGCCCUGCUGGACUGCCUCGUUGAGGUUUAGGUAUUCCGUGGUUGAGGUCCGCGGUUCCGUGGUGUAUGGUUGUGUUGGGUGGUUCUGCUCCACGCCGGAGUUUGCAAAUCUGUGUAGGAGGCAGCUGCUGCAUUUGGGACUCUCGGGAUGUCUGCUUUCUGUUACCUUGCAGUACAGUUGUGUAUGCAUUUAUAUUCACUCCCUAAACUAGACGGUGGAAUUUAAGAGGGCAAGACCCUGCACUUACACGCCUGGGAUUGACACGGGAAAUCGGACCCUUAGUUUCAGGUGCUGUCUUUAGCUCUACAGAUACAGCAGAGAACAAAGGAGAAUUGGCCUUGCCCAAGUGGAGCUAAAGUCUCUUCUGGAACGUGGAGCACGGAAGGAGACCAAUCUUCCCUACAGACCAAAGAUAAAUUUCUUUUGAAGUACUCUGGAUGGACAAAAAAUCUGUUCAAAAGAUCAAAGCGUGAUUAUUUUGCCAAAUUAUUAUUUGAAGAAUACGCUCACCAUGAUCAUACAACUAUUUUUUGAUUUAUGGAAAUACAAUUGGUAUUCAACUUUUUAGGAGUAUGUUUAGCGUGUAAAACAAGAACAAAUUGCAUGAAGUAAGAGCCCACGUCUGUGUUGUUUCUCACUAAGAUCAGCACCUUUCUGGCCACCUAGUAGGCUUUUGAAUAUCUGUGUGAUUGAUUUCAAUACUGGAAUAUGUUUUCUGUUAAAUCUCAAGGGCAUCAGUUCUGCAGUUCUCCCUUUAUAGUUGUUAACAUGAAUUUUGAUGACACGAAAAAGCUUGUUCUCCGAAUUAUAUUUAGCUCAUACAAA